GCUGAACAGUUGUUCAUUUUAAAACGAUUGCUGAGAAGCAGUUGUAGUAUUAAGAACUUUUUAUCAUUCCGCUCAACUUAAUGUAGGACAAGACCAUCUGUACUUGGGCUGAAAACAAAUCCAAGACGCAGCAAUUAUCAGCAGGGAAUACCCAAGGACCAGUUCAAGGCAGUUGGUCACAUUACGGGGCCUGGGACGAGUGCUCUGUGACUUGUGGAGGAGGUAUCAGGAAAAGGACUCGUACUUGUUCCACAGCAUCCUGUGAAGGAAACACGCAAGAGACUGGAGAAUGCAAUGUUCAUUCUUGUGACGGACCCAGUGCCCCUCCUAAGUUUGUUAGAGCAGUUACCAGAACUAUGUACAGCAUCGGCGUCAAGUGGGAUGAGGUGCCAUAAAGUUUCCGAAAUGGCGAUAUCAUGGGUUAUAUCAUUAGGUACCAUUCAGGCACUUCUUCAGGACAACAACAGAAAGAUGUAUCAAGUCCUUCAACACGUUUUGCAAAGCUGACACAUCUCACAAAGAACACAAACUACACCAUCACUGUGCUGGCCUCUAAUGACAAAGGAGAUGGACCUGCCAGUGAUCCUAUUGUUGUAGCGACGAGUGAUGGAAGUAAGUAUGCAUUCUGUUUUAUAAUUAAAUAUGUCCGAGAAGACAUAUCUAUAUAUUUAUUUAUAAGAAAUGACCACCUAGAGAAAGAUAGUCUUGUUGUCAAGGUAAAACUAAUCUUCGUGGUGCUGGUUAAUCUACUUCAAUAAAUGUAAAACCAACCAAGUGGCCCUAUCCAAAGCACCCUGAAAUGACGAUAUUCGAGCGUCAAAGAAAGGGUGACUUCAUAUCCCUUUAUUUGCAUGUUGAGAACUUUGAGUUUCUGUAUUUAUUGUAAUCUUGGUUAAGUUUUAGUGGAGGCUUCAAGUUUUCGAAGCCUGGUUUUCUGUAUAACAGCUACGAUAUAUCUUGAUAAUGUUCCAACCAGUUACAACUUAAAAGCUGCCCAUUUGUAUCUUUGUAUCUUUUGUAGGUGUCUUCCAGUGUCCCCUGGAAAGUGGUAAUCUCUGGCUUAAAGACCCAAACAGUUGUUUUCGUUACUAUCGGUGUUACAAUGAUGGCAAAGCUGUUCAACAUGGAAACUGUUCCGCAGGAACAGAAUUUAAACCUUCAGUGACCGGCAGUUAUAAUAACUGUGAUCAUCCUAGCGAACCUUACUGCCAUGUAUAAGUAAC